UCCCUGAUAGUUCAGUUGGUAAAGAAUCUGCCUGCAAUGCAGGAGAUCCCGGUUCGAUUCCUGGGUCGGGAA
rnacentral:tRNA from 1 species